rnacentral:rRNA from 1 species
AGCGAACGCUGGCGGCAGGCUUAACACAUGCAAGUCGAGCGGGCAUCUUCGGAUGUCAGCGGCAGACGGGUGCGUAACACGUGGGAACGUACCCUUCGGUUCGGAACAACUCUGGGAAACUGGAGCUAAUACCGGAUACGCCCUUAUGGGGAAAGGUUUACUGCCGAAGGAUCGGCCCGCGUCUGAUUAGCUAGUUGGUGGGGUAACGGCCUACCAAGGCGACGAUCAGUAGCUGGUCUGAGAGGAUGAUCAGCCACACUGGGACUGAGACACGGCCCAGACUCCUACGGGAGGCAGCAGUGGGGAAUAUUGGACAAUGGGCGCAAGCCUGAUCCAGCCAUGCCGCGUGAGUGAUGAAGGCCUUAGGGUUGUAAAGCUCUUUUGUCCGGGACGAUAAUGACGGUACCGGAAGAAUAAGCCCCGGCUAACUUCGUA